GCCCACAGCCUUGGUGUUCCUGAUCCAGCACGUUGCCAUCAUCCUCGCCCCAGAUACCAGCCAAGGAGGCUGGAAGGCCAACCAAGCUCCAACCACUGGGCGUCCCAUCGCAGCGUGGCUUUACUGCUAACGUUGGCAUUGCUGUUUGUGCCAGGGGUUCUGUUCAAAACCAAGCUCUUAGAAGAAUUUGGAGGAAAUUAUGACUGCAACCAUGUCUUUAAGCAGCUAACCCUGGAGAGAGAAUGGACCAAGCUAAACAUUAACCAUUGCUGCUGGUAGGCCUCUGACAGCACAAGGUGGUGAGCCUGUCUUUCAGAAACCAGCUAGCUGGGUUCAAAACCAAGCCCAUCAUGUAGAAGCUAUGUGACCUUGAAGAAGUUAAUUAGACUCUCUGAACCUUUGGUUCUUUAUCCACCAAUAAAAAUAAUCUCACCUACCACCCAGGGUUGUAGGUCCAAGUGUAUAAUGUACAAAUGAAUAAAUUAAGACAGUCUC
rnacentral:lncRNA from 1 species